ACCUUAAAACUAGCCUAAUUACCAAUUUAACUAAACCUUAUUAAUUUAAUUUACACUAAAACCUUUACUUAAAACAUUUUAACCUUUUAGUAUGGGCGACAGAAAAAAACAUCAGCGCAAUAGCUUAAGUACCGCAAGGGAAGAAUGAAAAAGAAAUGAAACAAAUCAUUAAAGUACUAAAAAGCAGAGACUCACCCUCGUACCUUUUGCAUCAUGGUUUAGCUAGAAAAACUAGGCAAAAAGACUUUAAGUCUACCCUCCCGAAACUAAACGAGCUACUUCGAAGCAGCAUUAUUAGAGCCAACCCGUCUCUGUGGCAAAAGAGUGGGAAGACUUCCAAGUAGCGGUGAAAAGCCUACCGAGUUUAGUGAUAGCUGGUUGCCCAAAAAAAGAACUUAAGUUCUGCAUUAAUUUUUAAUAACUAAAUAAGACCUCCUUAUUAAAGUAAUAUAUAAGAAUUAAUAGUUAUUUAGAAGAGGUACAGCCCUUCUAAAUUAAGAUACAACUUUCUAAGGUGGGAAAUGAUCAUAAUUAUUAAGGCUUCCCCCCCAGUGGGCCUAAAAGCAGCCACCUGUAAAGCAAGCGUCGCAGCUCCAGCCUUACAAAAGCCAAUAAUUUAGAUAUUUACUCAUAACCCCCUUAACACUAUUGGGCUAUUUUAUAAAAUUAUAAAAGAACUUAUGCUAAAAUGAGUAAUAAGAGAAUAAAUCUCUCCCGACACAAGUGUAUGUCAGAAAGAAUUAAAUCACUGAUAAUUAAACGACCCCAAAUUGAGGACAUCAUAGAAUUAUAUAAUUAACUAGAAAAACCUAUUUUAUUACUCGUUAAUCCUACACAGGCGUGUCUUAAGGAAAGAUUAAAAGAAAAUAAAGGAACUCGGCAAACACAAACUCCGCCUGUUUACCAAAAACACCGCCUCUUGCUAAACUAUAAGAGGUCCCGCCUGCCCUGUGACAAUGUUCAACGGCCGCGGUAUUUUGACCGUGCAAAGGUAGCGUAAUCACUUGUCUUUUAAAUGAAGACCCGUAUGAAAGGCACCACGAGAGUUUAACUGUCUCUAUUUUCUAAUCAAUGAAAUUGAUCUAUUCGUGCAGAAGCGAAUAUAAUAACAUUAGACGAGAAGACCCUAUGGAGCUUCAAACACUUAGACUAAUUAUGUAAAAAUUUUACCCUUAGGGUAUAAACAAAAAUACAAUACUUCUAGUUUAACUGUUUUUGGUUGGGGUGACCAAGGGGUAAAACAAAACCCCCUUAUCGACCGAACACUUAGUGUUUAAAAAUUAGAAUGACAAUUCUAACUAAUAAAACAUUUAUCGAAAAAUGACCCAGGAUUUCCUGAUCAAUGAACCAAGUUACCCUAGGGAUAACAGCGCAAUCCUUUCCCAGAGUUCCUAUCGACGAAAG
rnacentral:rRNA from 1 species